AUUCAAUCAAGAAAAAGUUAUCUGAGAUUGAGUUAUUCCAAGUUUUCGACAAGGAAACUGAGUAUCAAGCCUUAAUUAAUGACAAUGAGUUACUUCGUCGUCAAAACAAGGAAUUGCGGGAUGAAAAUGAUGGACUCAUCUUGGAAAUGGAAAGAAUGAAUCAAAAGUUAGAGAGGAGACAAAAGAAAGGAUCCAAACAUGAUGCUGCUUCAUCAAUGAAAAGAAUGAGAAGUUAUCACAAAAACUGGGCCAAUGAGAUCUGAUAUUAUUGAAUGAGAAGAUUAAGCGUUUUUUUCUGUUAUAUACUCAUAGAGAUGAAAGAGAGAGAAAGAAAAAUGAAAAAUUAUUUCAAACUAUGGCGAUCCCAAAUCAAAAAAGAGGUGAUUAGACAACCUUCCCACACUUUCAACAUCUAUAAUUAUGUCUCUUCUAAUAUUGUUAUUAAAAAUGAUGUUACCAUUGCUCCUUUUCUGUCGCUGAUGAUUAACACACGCUACCAAAUGCAAAAGAAAACGGAAAAUUAAUGGAGAUGGGCAUGCUGAUUAUCUCAUCAAAUCCAAGUUUCUUCAGCUAAUAGUUUAUUUCUCAAUCCCUCCCUCACUCAAUCAUCUCAAUCAAUCAAAUUCCACCAAAGAUUUUCAUUUGUGGCCUCAUUCAGCUGGAUUCUGGUUUAGACAUAAUAUUCCGGCCAACAUAGUGCAUUCAUGUUUUUGUCCCAUAUUUGACCAAUGUUAAUACUCGUGACGCCUUUUGCUCCUGACUUUAUCAAGGACUCUUUGUAUUAUCUUGUUUUAUCGCAAUCUAAGCCCUAUUGAAAGUGACCUCGUCCGUAUUUUAAAUGGAUUGUUAAUUUGGUUGCUUGGUAUCCAUCCAAAUUUUGUUAUAGAUUACACUUUUCGUACGGCUAAAUACUUGGAAACCUUGGCUGCAAAAAAAAAAGAAACUUCAAGCCCUCCAAAUCAGUGCAUUCAAUGACAAAGUAUAUAAAAGCAAAAA